UUUUUCUAGCUAAGAAAAUUAAUUUUGGCUUUAUUUCAAUGGUAACUAUACAAAUUAUCAGUGUAAGUUAUAAAAUUUUACAAUUAUUUGAUAAAUAUAAGAAUAUAGAACUAUGGAAUAUAUGUGCCAGCACAUGCGGUCAUACAUUAAGUUCAAGUUAAUAAUAUACCUGGGUAUACUGAAUUUCAUAAUUAUAAAUAGUAAGUUUAUUGGUAAAAUAAAUAGUCUUACAUUUUGUCAGAGUUAUUUUAAAGUAAUAAAGUGUGGUUCAUAAACUAGGAUUAGAUACCCUACUAUACACAUUUAUGUUACACCCAAGGGAUUAGUGGUAUAAUUUCACGAAAACUAAUAGGCUAUGGCGGUUAAUAUUCAGAUCAGAGACUCAUGUUUAUAAUCGACAUUACACGUUAAUCUUACCUUAUUUCAAAUCUUGUACACCGCUGUCGGAAGGUUAUAAUAAAAUUUAUGACCCUUUACUAUAAUGAGUAAUAAGUCAAGUCAAGGUGCAGACAAUAAUAAGGUAAAAAUGUGAGUCAUUGAUAGUAAUCAACAGAAAUAGUAUUGAAACAUAUUUAUAAGAAGAAUUUGAUAGUAAAUACCGUCCAUUAAACAGUAUUGAAUAUAGUAAAUAUUAAUGUACAAAUCGCCCGUCAUUCCGGAAAUAAGUCUGGAUAAGUCGUAACAAAGUUGUUCUACUGGAAAGUGGAUCAGG
rnacentral:ncRNA from 1 species